rnacentral:rRNA from 1 species
CCCGAACGGUGGAUCACUCGGCUCGGGGAU